AACGCCGCGUGAGUGAUGAAGGCUUUCGGGUUGUAAAGCUCUGUCAGGGGGAAAGAAGUGUAUUGGAGGCUAAUAUCUACUGAUACUUGACGGUACCCCCAAAGGAAGCACCCGGCUAACUCCGUGCCAGCAGCCGCGGUAAUACGGGGGGUGCAAGCGUUGUUCGGAUUUAUUGGGCGUAAAGCGCGUGUAGGCGGUUUAUUAAGUCUGAUGUGAAAGCCCUGGGCUCAACCCAGGAAGUGCAUUGGAUACUGGUAGACUUGAAUACGGGAGAGGGUAGUGGAAUUCCUGGUGUAGGAGUGAAAUCCGUAGAUAUCAGGAGGAACACCGGU
rnacentral:rRNA from 1 species